CUUCCUUUCCCUCUCCAGAUGUGCGUGUGUGAUGGGGAGAUGCCAGACUCCCGGGCAGGAGAGAGAGCAGCUCUUUUACACGGCUGCACGUCCCAGGAGUCCCUGGGGAGUCAAAGGUGGAGAGGUUCCUCGAAACCAGUGUUUCCAGCUCCAGUCACCACACUGGAAGCUCUGCGGGGGGCAGGAGCCAGUGAAAGUCUUUUAGGUCCUCAGGAUAUGAAACAGUGCUUGCCCUAGAAGAAUUAAUAACAAUCAGCAGUUCAAUUCUGUCAGUAACCCCUCAAGUUCACAGAUAAGAAAACUGAGGCCGUAGAAGUGGAGUCAUGACCCCAUGCUAGAGACUGAAGAUUCAGAGUGAGGAGCGCCAGCCUCUGCCCUCUGGGGUUGCACUAGCAUCCGAGACAUUCAAAUCACACAUCAAGGGCUCUUUCCAGCACAUGCCACACAGCCUUGGAAAACUGCUCUCCCUCCUGCUACGGGGUAUCCAUUUCCUUCGAAUGGACUGGUUCCUUGGCCACUCCAGACCGGGAGCGCCUUGAAGACAGAAUGUGGCCACUUCCUGUCUGGGUCAGACCUCGAUCCCUGCCUCUGACACGGCCCUGCAGGGAAGAUCGUGGUGAGGAUCCUGUGAACUCUACAUCCUUUACAGUGGGGUCCACCGUGAAUCAUCACAUUCACUAUGUGUCCUUGGGCAAGACAGGGCCCUCUCAGAUAAACAGAUGACCACCAUAUUUUCUCCUGUGCUACCCACCCACAUAUUCUGCUCUGGCUCCUGCACAUGAAAGCCCAG
rnacentral:lncRNA from 1 species